rnacentral:rRNA from 1 species
GUUGAGGUAUAUGAUCUUACUUGUGAAUUGAAGAUUAUGAGAUUCACUUUGCCAGAUGGCAUACUGUUUGCUACAUAGAUUUUUGGACAUGUCAGAGAAGUUGAUUGUUAUUCAAAUAUCUUCAUUGCUUAUCGCAUCUUAUUUGCUGUGUGUGAUGGUAGUCUCGGCAGAAAGAAGUUCUCAAAGCUGAAAUUGUUGAAGAAUUAUUUGAGGUCAACAGUGACUUAUGAGAGGUUAAAUGGUUUGGGUACAUUAUGCAUCGAGAAGAAAUUAUUGGAUGAGAUUGUCAUCGACCCCAUCGUAAGUGAUAUUGCAUCGAUGAAUGUUACAAGAGAAUUUUCAAGGUGA